ACAUCCCUAUCCUCACGUAUGUUCUCUCUUUGAUUUUAACUAUUUAUACACUAAUCCCCUUGGGCUCUUGGCUCCCUGGUCCUGCACGCAGCCCCUCCUCUGGGCUCUCAGACCCUUGGCCCUGAAACACAGCCCCUCCUCUGGGCUCUCAAACCCUCUAGUCUGGCUUAGCCUGCUCUGGGCUCUCGGACCCUUCUGGCCCAGGCUCAGCCCUUUCCUGGGGCUCUUGGACCUUUUGGUCUGGGUCUCAGCCUUUUUCUAGGUUCUGAGACCCCUUACUGGGCUCCAUCCUCAGUCUGAGGACUCCUGGGUUACCGGUUCUCUAAAUAUGACUUAAGCCUACCUCAUUUAUGGUCCUAUUUCCUCAGCAUGGCCCCUCACUCCCAACCACAUCUCCCUACCCCCGCAACUCUAUCUAGUCAUGUUACAACCCCAUUUGGGGUGACAACCCACAGUUUGGGAACUACUGGUGUAGCUGAAGCAGUCUGUGUGUGGGGGGGAGGGGGGAAUAUGGAUUCAAGACAAGCCUCCAAUAAUGAGAUUAUAUACCUGAAAAAUUAGAACAAAUUUAUACAUUUACCAUAUAUAGAACCUAGUUAUUGUGGGAGUGCUAUUAAAUUUAAGGUUGACUUAGAUUUGAGUAAAUAUGUUAUGUCUGCAUGGAUAUGCCAUAUUAAGGCAUCAGAGUUAAUAUAUAUAUUGAAGCAAUGUAGAUACUGUAUUUGUGUGUCUUUUUCAUAUGCAGAUGCUUCCUUCCAGAAGAUGGCCCUGCUAGAGUGCUUGCUCCUUGGUCUAUUAAGGAGAAAUUAUACAAGUUGUGUAAACAUCAAGUCAAAUUUUCAAAAUGCAUCAGACCUACUGAUGCAUUCAAAAUCUCUUCUAUGCAAAACUCUUGGAGGAAAGUUGGCAAGAAAAUCUACUGGUAUGUUCAAGACUGAUAGUAUGUUAGCAGCUGCAUCUAGCCAAACCAGAACAGCAGAUUCCAGUUCAGAAUUAUACCAGAAUUUAUGCUUUACAGGAUUUUCUUUUGCAUCUCUCUAUCUGUAAUUUUGUAAGACUGCAUUACAAGCAUCUCUUAAGAAGUAUGCAUUUUUACUAGUUUCUCCCUUUCUAUCAUUAAAUAGCAAAAUGAAAACAAGAUUGCCUUGACAGACUCCUAAAAUUCUGCUCUCUAAAAUGACAACAAUUUGAUUCAGGAAAUGUAGCCACAUGCUUUCAGUGGCUCAGGCCAGGCUCUCUGGCUGUGUGUUCACUUCCUCUUCCUGUUGCCCAUGAGGUCUCUGGGAUUUGCAGUCCAGAAUUACAGCAUCAGGACUCCGCAGGGUCCCUCAACACUUCCUCUUCCUGCUUCCAGGUGCCUCUGGGAUUUGUAGCCCACAGUUGCAGCCAGCAGCCUGAUGUCUUCAAGGAAUCCUGAUACACCUGGAGAUCACUUUCCUGCCUGAAAGUAUUUUUCUAGUCACGAUGCUCAAGUGAUCAUUCCAUUAUUGCUGUAAAAAGCAGGACAGCAGUGCAAAAACACUACAUUGUCCUCCAGAAAUGAAUCACUUCUCAAAUUCAGUGCUAUUGCAAUGGGUGCAAACUAUACUUCUCUGGACCAUUUUACUGUAGCCCAGAUCCUCAUUUUCACUUCUUUCCACUGAUGAUGGCAAGUCACAACAAUUAUUCAUGCUGUGUUUAUUAAAGUAGCCUCAAGUUUGAGCAACAGAUCUUCUGAUUUGAAAAUAUCAUCAUCCAUGAACUCAAACUACAAUUUGCAUCAAGUAGGAAUUACAGCAUCACACUAUACCAAAUUACAUCAGGACAGCUUCAGUAUUAUGUAUAUCCAAUCUUAACCAAAAUGUCUACCGUUCAGCAUUACUUUAUGGUAUUUAUGUCCUUUAGUCUCACAUGAUCCCUAGAAGAUUCAAUUUUUCAUAUUUUUCACUGUGCACAUUGUAUUAAUACUGCCAUUAAGCAUGACAGACAUUGGCCUGAUGGAUACUCAAUUGUCACUGACAAUACUGGCAUACUUCCAUUACAAGCAUGUAACACUGAAAAAGUUAAGAAAGCUUUUUGAACACGAAUGUAAUUAUGAUAAACUGACAAAAUGUUCUGGCCUUCACAGUUAAACUGAAUAAUGAUAGGCAGAAGGCCUCUCUCUGAAUAAUGAUGGUGUGUUGAAGAGAAUACUAAGACCAUGGAACUGAACAAUACUUAAAUUGUAAGCUCUCCAUUUGUGGUAUUUUAAACAUCUUUAAUACAAAACUGCAUUCA